CAAUAUGCUAGACAGGUACCAAGAUGCUAGACAGGUACCAAGAUGCUAGACAGGUACCCAGAUGUGAGACAGGUACCCAGAUGUGAGACAGGUACCAGAUGUGAGACAGGUACCAAGAUGUUAGAUAGGUACCAAGAUGCUAGACAGGUACCAGAUGUGAGACAGGUACCAAGAUGCUAGACAGGUACCAGAUGUGAGACAGGUACCAAGGUGUGAGACAGGUACCAAGAUGCUAGACAGGUACCAGAUGUGAGACAGGUACCAAGAUGCUAGACAGGUACCCAGAUGUGAGACAGGUACCAAGAUGCUAGACAGGUACCAGAUGUGAGACAGGUACCACGAUGCUAGACAUGUACCAGAUGCUAG
ensembl:lncRNA